rnacentral:lncRNA from 1 species
GAUGGGGAAGGGUCUGCAGGGGAAGACUUAUAGGGAGAGGCUGAGGGCACGUGGUGUGUCUCAGAGAAGAGAUUGAGGUCAGACCUCAUUGGGUUCUUCAGCAUCCUCAUGAGGGGAAGAGGAGGGAGAGACACUGAUCUCUCUGUCAUGACCACAUGACAGGACUGAAGGAACAUCUGGAGCUGUGUCAGGGGAGGGUUGUGACUGGUUAUCAAUCAAAGGCUGUUCCCAGAGAGGGUGGUGGGCACUGACCUGGCUCCCCAGGAAUUGGGCACAGCCCAGAGCUCCAGGAGCAUUUGGACAAUGCUCUCAGGGAUGCACAGAGUGGAUUGUUGGGGUGCCUGUGCAAGGCCAGGAGUUUGACUGAUGAUGAAUGAUCCUUUUGGCUCCCUUCCAACCCAGGCUAUACUCUGAUUCUGUCAUGCUGUGGUUCUGUGGUUCUAUGAUUCUGUGGUUCUAGGGUUUUGUGAUACUACUAUUACAAAUUCCUGCUGCUACAGAGAUAAACUACUUUUCUUACUUCUUCUUGUAAAAGAAAGAUCUGCCUCACUCGAAGGGAUGAAAAAAUGGACAUGCCAGGUCGAGCUCAAAGAUACCUCAUUUUUGUUCAGCAUUUAUAUCCCUGACAGAGCUGUCUGUGUUGCUCUCCAUGUCUGAAGUACAUGCAGAUAUACAUUACCCAUCUGAGCUGCACUAUCUGGGGCAGGCAUUUGCUGUUCCAUGCAAGUAAGCCAUGAGGAAAUAAGGCACUUUCAGGUAUAUAUUAGUAAGCUCUCAGUUCUUUGCUUAACUACUUAAGCAAGACAGGAAACAGGAACAACAAACCCUUAGAGCCUCAACACAUUUCCAGGACUGGUCUUUGCAAGAUUGGACUUGGACUAAGUACAUAGCAGGUGGCUGAUGAAGACAAUAAAAACAGCAAUAAUAAUGUUCUGAGCUGAAAUUUGGAUUGAAAAUUCAUUUAAUUUGAAAUUAAAAUUUUGUCUUUUUCUUUUUUUUUUGGAGAAAAAUAUAUUUCAUAACAGUUUCUAUUUUCAAACUUUUACAGGCCUCUUUGCAGUUAAGAAGUUUGAAACAUUUUGCAUGAACUUUGUGACAUAACUUUAUGUAAUUCCAUAAAGAAGUCCAGAAUUGCUUGUCUUGCUUUGUAGCUUUUUUUUAUAGCAUGAU